rnacentral:tRNA from 1 species
AUUCUCUAUCUAGAAAAAACAAAAAAAACUCUUUCUUUCUUAAUAAAAAUCUACUGAUUCUAUAGA